GCUAACUCCGUGCCAGCAGCCGCGGUAAUACGGAGGGUGCAAGCGUUAUCCGGAUUUAUUGGGUUUAAAGGGUCCGUAGGCGGAUCGUUAAGUCAGCGGUGAAAGCCCUCUGCUCAACAGAGGAACUGCCGUUGAUACUGGCGAUCUUGAAUGUGUAUGAAGUUGGCGGAAUGUGUGGUGUAGCGGUGAAAUGCUUAGAUAUCACACAGAACACCGAUUGCGAAGGCAGCUGACUAAUACAAUAUUGACGCUGAGGGACGAAAGUGUGGGGAUCAAACAGGAUUAGAUACCCUGGUAGUC
rnacentral:rRNA from 1 species